AUCCGGGUUGCGGACAGUGUCUGGUGGGUAGUUUGACUGGGGCGGUCUCCUCCUAAAGAGUAACGGAGGAGCACGAAGGUUGGCUAAUCCUGGUCGGACAUCAGGAGGUUAGUGCAAUGGCAUAAGCCAGCUUGACUGCGAGCGUGACGGCGCAAGCAGGUGCGAAAGCAGGUCAUAGUGAUCCGGUGGUUCUGAAUGGAAGGGCCAUCGCUCAACGGAUAAAAGGUACUCCGGGGAUAACAGGCUGAUACCGCCCAAGAGUUCAUAUCGACGGCGGUGUUUGGCACCUCGAUGUCGGCUCAUCACAUCCUGGGGCUGAAGUAGGUCCCAAGGGUAUGGCUGUUCGCCAUUUAAAGUGGUACGCGAGCUGGGUUUAGAACGUCGUGAGACAGUUCGGUCCCUAUCUGCCGUGGGCGCUGGAGAACUGAGGGGGGCUGCUCCUAGUACGAGAGGACCGGAGUGGACGCAUCACUGGUGUUCGGGUUGUCAUGCCAAUGGCACUGCCCGGUAGCUAAAUGCGGAAGAGAUAAGUGCUGAAAGCAUCUAAGCACGAAACUUGCCCCGAGAUGAGUUCUCCCUGAGACUUUAGAUCUCCUGAAGGAACGUUGAAGACGACGACGUUGAUAGGCCGGGUGUGUAAGCGCAGCGAUGCGUUGAGCUAACCGGUACUAAUGAACCGUGAGGCUUAACCUUACAACGCCGAAG
rnacentral:rRNA from 2 species